rnacentral:sRNA from 1 species
AGACAAAACUGACGUUUCCAUCAAAACAUCUAUUUACUUACCAGAAAAGAGUAAAUGACAAAACCCACAGAGCUUUAUGAUUUCCAGGACAUGUCACAUCGACUGAUGUAUAUCUAGUCUUCUAAGAGGCAUUGUCGCCUGUGGACUUGGGUUGGCCACAUAACUAAGAUUUGUAUGCUGACUCGAUCAUGAACUAUGAAAGUGAUGCCCAGGGGAAGAAGUUGCAAUCGUAGGACAUGGUAUGAUAAGAUAUUAUACCGUAGUUAUUGUUGACACUAAGGUUUUAUUAGUCACCAAAUUCUCGUUAGUUAUCAAUUGUCUCCAUAUAUAUCGCUCUAUUGUUGGCUCGUAAAAUUGUGUUGGAAUCUAUUAUUGACGUGUAAUGGUAAUAUAUUGCCAUACUGAUGUUUAUUUCGUUUUAAGUAUGCGGUCGUGUAUCUUGUGACAUCCAGGUGUUUGGUCGAUUUAGGACAAUUUCCCGACUGGCUAAUGGCACUUUCCUAAUGAUGUGAGACUAACAUUGCGAAUUCAGUUGGGGCCCAGAAAUGUUAUUUGUAAAUGUAAUUGCGUUUCUGGGCCCCUACU